ensembl:lincRNA
AGACAAUAUUCUAAUUGUUUUAAGGGGUUAAUUACCUAGCACCCAUUAAACCCCAAGCUCCCUCCUCACUCCAGGUAGGAGGGAUGUGACUGAUCUUGGAAGUUGCUGAAAGUAAUCUCUCUUCCAGGCUCCUGUCUGACAACGAAAGCCCCCAAGCCAAUAUGAGCUGGUUACAGAGAAAGAGAAGCUGAGAACACAGACCAGCAGGUCAGACCAUAAAGGAUCUUCCUCUCACUAUGUCAUGAAGAGCAUUGAAUGAAUGAAUGAAUUUUGGAUAUAGGAACACACUGCCUAACAUCGUUGAACUUCAGUUUUCUCGUUGAUGAUGAAGAGUGAAUAGACGGUAUCCCUUGUCUUGUUGAAUGGUACUGCCAACCACACACACCCAGCCAUCCGAUGGGGAUCCUGAUUUUUCAAACUUAAUCUAAGUCCAUCUGCCUCAGGAGACAUCACUACAGAAGAGAUCCAUUGGCCUGGAAAGAAGCUGUCUUUCCCUCCUUACCCUCAUCACAACCCUGUUCGCAACCUGGCUCAUUCAUCUGACUCCUGCAUAGACAGAAACCAAGCUCCUGGAGGCAAGAAUAAAAUACUCCCUCCUGCAUUCUGAGCAUCUAGUCUUUCAAAAAGGGUCUUCCAAAAAGUCUAUGUUUCCGAGUGAAUAAAGAAACAAAUCCUCCCAAACACACAUGAAUUUGUCACUCAUGUUGUCCUU